rnacentral:rRNA from 1 species
UACGAAGGGUGCAAGCGUUGCUCGGAAUUAUUGGGCGUAAAGGGUAGGUAGGUGGUUGCGUAUGUCUGAGGUGAAAUCCCCGGCUUAACUUGGGAAGUGCCUUGGAAACGGCGUAACUAGAGUACUGGAGAGGUUCGCAGAAUUCUUGGUGUAGCGGUGAAAUGCGUAGAUAUCAAGAGGAAUACCAGAGGCGAAGGCGGCGAACUGGACAGUUACUGACACUCAACUACGAAAGCGUGGGGAGCAAACAGG